AUGAAGAUAUUUAAUCCUGCUUUAUUCAUGUACUUGUGGCUGCAGCUGGAUGAGUUUAGCCAAGGAGAGAAAGUGGAUCAGCAUCCUUCUACCCUGAGUGUCCAGGAUGGAGACAGCGCUGUUAUCAACUGCUCUUACUCAGAGAGUACUUGGGACUAUUUCUCUUGGUAUAAACAAGAAACUGGAAAAGGUCUCCAGCGUAUUAUAGACAUUCGUUCAAAUAAGGAGAUAAGUCAAAUCCAAAGAUUCAUUGUUGUGUUGGAUAAGAAAGCCAAACACUUCUUCCUGAACAUCACAGCCACCCAGCCUGGAGACUCAGCUGUCUACUUCUGUGCAGCCAGUGCACAAUGCUUCCCAGACACCUGCAGCCUGUACUCAAACCUGCCACUGGGCAGAGCUUCAUCUGCUUCCUUUGUCGCAGUUUUCCCAUAG